rnacentral:lncRNA from 1 species
AAAGGAAUUCAUAUGUUAUCUUGCUCAUAAAACACACAGUUAAAAUGCGAACAAAACUAUAGCAAGGCUUGACCUAAUUUUGUUAUUAAAAAAAUAUUGUUCGAAUAAUCAAUUGUACACAUAUCCAAAAUAAAUUAUUGUAAUUACUUAAUACCAUACAUUAGUAUUUUUUGAUUGAAUUAGAAAGGAAUUCAUAUGUUAUCUUGCUCAUAAAACACACAGUUAAAAUGCGAACAAAACUAUAUCAAGGCUGGACCUAAUUUUGUUAUUAAAAAAAUAUUGUUCGAAUAAUCAAUUGUACACAUAUCCA